CUAGAAGCCUCCACUGUCAGCUCUUCUCAAGUGCAACCUGCCUUCCAGAUGGCAGCCUGUUCCUUCUCACUGACUUCCAGUUUCCUGGCUUCUUCCUGUUCUUUCCUCAGAUGUUCCAGAGCCUGCUGGAGUUUCCACUGCAAGAGACAGAAAGAUCAUGAGCGUGCCCCACCAGGAGGCCACUGUAGGCACUCUAGGCUGACAGAGGCUUCCCGAUGCUCCACAGGCAAACUUUGCUGUUGAAAGUGUGGUCCAAAGCCAGGAACAUCAGCACGGCAGAAGCUUGAGCCUUACCCUACACAUAUCAAAUGAGAACUGGAAUUUAUCAAGCUCCUUGGGUAGUUUAGAUAUACAAUAAAGGUGCAGACCACAAAUGCUGGCAGCUCCCUGACUACUUGUGCAGUUCUCCUUAUGUUGCACACUGAAGUGUAAACUGGAAAUGCAACAACUGUCCUUCACCAUGUCCUGAAAAUCACCACCUGCCAGUCCUGAGUCAUGCUGCCACCGUUCGCCACAUACCAAGAUGUGCUCCUCACCAUGCAGGGAGGCAGAGAGGAAAUUACGCCCCUUGGAAUAAAACCAGGAUCACUUAAUAAUA